AUACUCAUUUUGGUUGCACAUACACUAAAAUCAGAAUGAUACAGAGAAGAUGGGCAUGACUCCUGUGCAAGGAUGACAUACAACUUCAUAACACAUUCCAUAUUUUU